AAACCUUUUUGAGGUGAGAUCUGGCUGUGUUGCCCAGGCUGGAGUGCAGUGGCUGUUCAUAGCUUUUAAAAGCAGUCCAUCUUCAAGGCCAUGAAGGACCUGUUUAUGCGGUGCAUGCUAUUUACCAGAGGAGGACAUCAGAUCCUGCAUUAUGUACACUGAUCGUUUCUGCAGCUGCAGAUUCUGCUGUUCGACUCUGGUCUAAAAAGGGUCCAGAAGUAAUGUGCCUUCAGACUUUAAACUUUGGAAAUGGAUUUGCUUUGGCUCUCUGCUUGUCUUUUUUGCCAAAUACUGAUGUACCAAUAUUAGCAUGUGGUGAUGAUGAUUGCAGAAUUCACAUAUUUGCUCAACAAAAUGAUCAGUUUCAGAAAGUGCUUUCUCUCUGUGGACAUGAGGAUUGGAUUAGAGGAGUGGAAUGGGCAGCCUUUGGUAGAGAUCUUUUCCUAGCAAGCUGUUCACAAGAUUGCCUGAUAAGAAUAUGGAAGCUGUAUAUAAAGUCAACAUCUUUAGAAACUCAGGAUGACGAUAACAUAAGACUGAAAGAAAAUACU
rnacentral:sRNA from 1 species